GGAAAGAAUCAUUUCUCUUCGUUUGUGGUCGCCAGAAUUCCUCUGCCACCAAAAUAUCCGAUAAAUGCGGAAAAUGAAAAAUAAAAGUUCGAUAAAAAGGCUCCAAUUUGUUUUUCCCCCUCAUCUUAACAUUAUAUUUGAUCUCCCCUCUCUGCUCCGAUCCUCCAACCCAGAAAAACAGUUCGUACCCAGUCGAAAUUUUGAUUCCUGAUAAGGGAGCUGCUCUCAUGCUGUUGAAUUUGUUUUGGCAUUGCAGCUUUGUUAGCAUAUCUUAAGAAGAGGACGUUCUCCUGUGUUCUCUGUAAACUUUUAGACCGAGUUUCAUGUCUCAAUUGGAUAUCCAACUUCCCAGUGCCUUUGAUCCUUUUUCUGAGGCCAAUGUUGAUGACUCGGGUGCUGGGGCCAAGGAGUACGUGCACGUGCGUAUUCAGCAGAGGAACGGCAGGAAAAGCCUGACCACUGUUCAAGGGCUGAAGAAGGAAUUUAGUUACAGUUAUUCAACUCCAAGGUGAUCAGAGAAAGAACGUUUCCACCUUCCUCAUUCAGGCGGCCAUCAUGAAGAAGGAACACAUCAAGAUUCAUGGUUUUUGAGAAGACAUCGAAUACGUUGGAUGAUUGGGCUCUGACCAGGCUCCGUGUUUCCCAGAAAUACAGCCUUCGCUCCUGUCUAAUCGUCUCUGCCUUAUACAUAGUCGCCAAAAGUUUUUUUUAUCUGCUUGAGUCUCUGACAGUGAUGUCGUCUUCUUCAGUAUAUGAUAUAUGCUUUUAUUUGGUUAAUUGAGCAAGUUUGAGCCGACCAUGAGUAAUCUCGAUGAGCCAUUUUCUCCAUCUAUACAGAGCGUCAUUCAAGUGGUUUAAGAAACGUGAAGAACACUGCUGAGCAGAAUGUCGACGUCAUGAUGCAUAAAAGUGUGUUCUUCAUUUUCCUUUUUCAAAAACUAUGAAAAACAGUGUAAAAGACGAACUCUGUUGA